GACGAACGCUGGCGGCGUGCCUAAUACAUGCAAGUCGAACGAGAGCGACCGGUGCUUGCACUGGUCAAUCUAGUGGCGAACGGGUGAGUAACACGUGGGUAACCUGCCCAUCAGAGGGGGAUAACAUCCGGAAACGGAUGCUAAAACCGCAUAGGUCUUCGAACCGCAUGGUUUGAAGAGGAAAAGAGGCGCAAGCUUCUGCUGAUGGAUGGACCCGCGUUGCAUUAGCUAGUUGGUGAGGUAACGGCUCACCAAGGCCGUGAUGCAUAGCCGACCUGAGAGGGUGAUCGGCCACAUUGGGACUGAGACACGGCCCAAACUCCUACGGGAGGCAGCAGUAGGGAAUCUUCCGCAAUGGACGCAAGUCUGACGGAGCAACGCCGCGUGAGUGAAGAAGGUUUUCGGAUCGUAAAACUCUGUUGUUAGAGAAGAACAAGUGCUAGAGUAACUGUUAGCGCCUUGACGGUAUCUAAACAGAAAGCCACGGCUAACUACGUG
rnacentral:rRNA from 1 species